rnacentral:rRNA from 1 species
GAUGAACGCUGGCGGCGUGCCUAAUACAUGCAAGUCGAGCGAACAGACGAGGAGCUUUCUCCUUUUACGUUAGCGGCGGACGGGUGAUUAACACGUAGGUAACCUACCUAGAAGACUGGCGUAACUUCGGGAAACCGGAGCUAAUACCCGAUAAUAUUUCGAACCUCAUGGUUCGAUGGUGAAAGAUGGCUUUGCUAUCACUUAUACAUGGACCUGCGCCGGAUUAGCUAGUUGGUAAGGUAACGGCUUACCAAGGCAACGAUACGUAGCCGACCUGAGAGGGUGAUCGGCCACACUGGAACUGAGACACGGUCCAGACUCCUACGGGAGGCAGCAGUAGGGAAUCUUACGCAAUGGGCGAAAGCCUGACGGAGCAACGCCGCGUGAGUGAUGAAGGUCUUCGGAUCGUAAAACUCUGUUAUUAGGGAAGAACAAAAGUGUAAGUAACUGUGCACGUCUUGACGGUACCUAAUCAGAAAGCCACGGCUAACUACGUG